AAUACAUUAGCUCUUACCAGCUAAUUAACUGGUUGGCUGCUAGUUAAGAAGGAGAUGGGAGAGUGGGGAGGGAGGCUAGGUUAGGAGGAUAUGAACAGACAUAAGAAAGAGGGAUGGCAGAGCUAGAUUUUGCUUAUUUUGCAAUCUUGCCUGGCUUAGUGCAACAGCUCACUUGAGAUAAGCAAUGAGGGUCUAGCAUGGUGCAAUGCUAUUCAGGAUGCAAAAGUAGCAGAGGACCUCUGAGGAGGUUACAUGCGGCUUGGGAGAUGAGUGAUAAAUACAUGAAACAGCUGGGGAAAAAUACUAGACUGGAUAAAAUCAAGUGUGAGAGGAUUUGGUUCAGAUUUCAAGCACUACAGGAAUUCAGAAGCAAGGAAGAUCACACAAGGAGAGAAAUCAAAGAACAGUCACUGUGAAAGGGAUUGCAAGAAGCCGCUCUUCCUGUCUCAGGUGUCAGCAGUCAACUCUGUGGCUAUCAUCACCCUGGGAAAGACUGAAAUCAAGAUUCUGUGAUAUUCCACACCUGUCCCAGACAAUUCCAGCACAUCCCACCCUGAGAACAGCCAGAGGAGGAGAUCAGCCACGGAUUCUUGUCUGUGGGAGUGUCCCAAACCUGACUUAACAUCACAGCGAGGCAGGAGAUGAGGGGCUGAAUGAUAAUCUGUGUGGACCUGCCAUUUCCACAAGAAGAGGCUGUCCGUUUAUGGAGCAAGUGAGCGAAUAAUGAACUCUCUGGAGAGAGGUUGGGUGUUGACACCUCGGUGUGAAUUCUUCCCUCAUCUCUCAUCUGAGCGUCCCCUGUGUGAUGGCCAGUUCUCCUCAUGGGCAGCUGCCCACACGCUCCCUCUGAAGUGAAGUCUGAUGGUUGACAAGCCCUACACAUGCAGAUGGAGCUUUUAUUGCCUCUCUCUUAAAUAUGAAACAAAGAUUUAGUUAACAAAUAUUUAUUAAAUGCCCACUAGAUGCCAGAGAGAGGUCUUGGCACGUAAUAGUCAACAAAAGAGACCCCAAUCCCUGCCUGCCUUGGAGCUUACAUUCUAGUGAUGGAAGACGGAAAAAAUUUAAGUGAGUUAUUCAGUAUUUUAGAGACUGAUAUGUGCUAUGGACAAAAGUAAGGCAGGAAAGGAAGAGAGAUUGAGUGCUGGGGCAGGUAUGCAGCUUCAUUGUGUGGUCACAGAAGGCCUCACUUGGAUGGUAACAUUUGUGCAAAGUCACUGGAGAAUCACAAAAUUCCUAUAAAAAAGAGUCAACUGGAUGCCAAGAAGGGGAAAGAACAUAGACUCAAAUAAACUAUGACAGCAAAAGAAGUAUCAUGAGCGUGAGAAGUGAAAGAGGUACAAGGGAGAGAUGGAAAGAGAAGGAGAAGAGAAGGGUGACAGAAAAACAGACGAAUGAAAACGGAUUCUUUCCUAAUCUCACAGACAUACAAAUCCUGAACCAUCUCUAAGCUUUGCGUAGAGAAGACUUCUAAACUCACAGGAGCUUAUCCUACUUCUGGUUGUGAUGGAGUAGCUCACAGCAGACCAAGUCUCCUGUUGAAAACAUCUAGAAAACAUGAACCACAAAAUACACAUUUUUAUAAGACAUCAAAGAGCAGCCAAAAUAUUCAGGACUUGAAGGGUCAAGAUCCCAGAAGAAGAAAAACUCAUUAAGAUGAGGAAACACGCGCGCUGGAAGAUAAAGUAACCUCUCUAAAAUAGUUAUUCAAAAUAUAACAGCCUAAGCUAUUAGUCCUUUUGACGAACCACUUUGCUCAAAAGAACUAAUUCUUUCGGACAUUCUCAUUAUACUCGAUUCUUUCGAGAUCUUUCAUGUUGGUUACCC
rnacentral:lncRNA from 1 species